UACGUAGGGUGCAAGCGUUAAUCGGAAUUACUGGGCGUAAAGCGUGCGCAGGCGGUGAUGUAAGACAGGUGUGAAAUCCCCGGGCUUAACCUGGGAACUGCAUUUGUGACUGCAUCGCUGGAGUGCGGCAGAGGGGGAUGGAAUUCCGCGUGUAGCAGUGAAAUGCGUAGAUAUCAAGUGGAACACCAGUGGCGAAGGCGAAUCCCUGGAAAAUACCUGACACUGAGGCACGAAAGCUAGGGGAGCAAACAGG
rnacentral:rRNA from 1 species